rnacentral:misc_RNA from 1 species
UGGUUCGUGUGUGUUGUCUGCCUG